rnacentral:rRNA from 1 species
GAUGAACGCUGGCGGCGUGCCUAAUACAUGCAAGUCGAGCGAACAGACGAGGAGUUUGCUCCUCUGACGUUAGCGGCGGACGGGUGAGUAACACGUGGAUAACCUACCUAUAAGACUGGGAUAACUUCGGGAAACCGGAUCUAAUACCGGAUAAUAUAUUGAACCGCAUGGUUCAAUAGUGAAAGACGGUUUUGCUGUCACUUAUAGAUGUAUCCGCGCCGCAUUAGCUAGUUGGUAAGGUAACGGCUUACCAAGGCUACGAUGCGUAGCCGACCUGAGAGGGUGAUCGGCCACACUGGAACUGAGACACGGUCCAGACUCCUACGGGAGGCAGCAGUAGGGAAUCUUCCGCAAUGGGCGAAAGCCUGACGGAGCAACGCCGCGUGAGUGAUGAAGGUCUUCGGAUCGUAAAGCUCUGUUAUUAGGGAAGAAGAAAUGUGUAAGUAACUAUGCACGUCUUGACGGUACCUAAUCAGAAAGCCACGGCUAACUACGUG